AACAUACUCCCUCCGUCCGGAAAUACUUGUCGUGAAAAUAGAUACAAAUGGAUGUAUAUAGAACUAAAAUACAUCUAGAUACAUCCAUUUCUCGGACAACUAUUUCCGGAUGGAGGGAGUAGGAG
rnacentral:pre_miRNA from 1 species